GACGAACGCUGGCGGCGUGCCUAACACAUGCAAGUCGAACGGAAAGGCCCUGCUUUUGUGGGGUGCUCGAGUGGCGAACGGGUGUGUAACACGUGAGUAACCUGUCCCUGACUUUGGGAUAUCUUCAGGGAACUGCGGCUAUUACCGGAUAGGAGCUCCUGCUGCAUGGUGGGGGUUGGAAAGUUUCGGCGGUUGGGGCUGGACUCGCGGCUUACCAGCUUGUUGGUGGGGUAGUGGCGUACCAAGUCUUUGACGGGUAGCCGGCCUGAGAGGUGGACCGGCCACAAUACGACUGAGAGAGGCCCCAGACUGCAACGUUAGGCAAUGGUGGAGAGUAUUACACAGCGAGCGGGAGCCUGAUACGACAACGCUGCGAUCGGGAAGACGGGCUUCGGGGUGUAAACCGCUGUCGCCUGAGACGUAGCGUUAGUGACGGUAAUGGGUAAAGAAGCACCGGCUAACUACGUG
rnacentral:rRNA from 1 species